AGGGAAUCUUCCACAAUGGACGCAAGUCUGAUGGAGCAACGCCGCGUGAGUGAAGAAGGCUUUCGGGUCGUAAAACUCUGUUAUUGAAGAAGAACGUGUGUGACAGUAACUGGUCAUGCAGUGACGGUAUUCAAUCAGAAAGUCACGGCUAACUACGUGCCAGCAGCCGCGGUAAUACGUAGGUGGCAAGCGUUGUCCGGAUUUAUUGGGCGUAAAGCGAGUGCAGGCGGUCUUUUAAGUCUGAUGUGAAAGCCUUCGGCUUAACCGAAGAAGGGCAUCGGAAACUGGGAGACUUGAGUGCAGAAGAGGAGAGUGGAACUCCAUGUGUAGCGGUGAAAUGCGUAGAUAUAUGGAAGAACACCAGUGGCGAAGGCGGCUCUCUGGUCUGUAACUGACGCUGAGGCUCGAAAGCGUGGGUAGCAAACAGGAUUAGAUACCCUGGUAGUCCACGCCGUAAGCGAUGAAUACUAAGUGUUGGAGGGG
rnacentral:rRNA from 1 species